rnacentral:rRNA from 1 species
CUUGGUAUUCCGAGGGGCAUGCCUGUUCGAGCGUCAUUACACCACUCAAGCUAUGCUUGGUAUUGGGUGUCGUCCUUAGUUGGGCGCGCCUUAAAGACCUCGGCGAGGCCACUCCGGCUUUAGGCGUAGUAGAAUUUAUUCGAACGUCUGUCAAAGGAGAGGAACUCUGCCGAUUGAAACCUUUAUUUUUCUAGGUUGACCUCGGAUCAGGUAGGGAUACCCGCUGAACUUAAGCAUAUCAAUAAGCGGAGGAAAAGAAACCAACAGGGAUUGCCCUAGUAACGGCGAGUGAAGCGGCAACAGCUCAAAUUUGAAAGCUAGCCUUCGGGUUCGCAUUGUAAUUUGUAGAGGAUGCUUUGGGUAAAACGCCAGUCUAAGUUCCUUGGAACAGGACGUCAUAGAGGGUGAGAAUCCCGUAUGUGACUGGAAAUGUUAACCUAUGUAAAGCUCCUUCGACGAGUCGAGUUGUUUGGGAAUGCAGCUCUAAAUGGGAGGUAAAUUUCUUCUAAAGCUAAAUAUUGGCGAGAGACCGAUAGCGCACAAGUAGAGUGAUCGAAAGAUGAAAAGCACUUUGGAAAGAGAGUUAAAAAGCACGUGAAAUUGUUGAAAGGGAAGCGCUUGCAAUCAGACUUGUUUAAACUGUUCGGCCGGUCUUCUGACCGGUUUACUCAGUUUGGACAGGCCAGCAUCAGUUUCGGCGGCCGGAUAAAGGCUCUGGGAAUGUGGCCUCCACUUCGGUGGAGGUGUUAUAGCCCAGUGUGUAAUACGGCCAGCCGGGACUGAGGUCCGCGCUCGGCUAGGA